CCCUGUUGUGGGACUAAUAAAGGAAUAUCUCUCAUCUUAUUUUGGAAGUGUUAUCCCUGCACGCCAGCAGGGGGCAGAUAACAUUUUGGUGAUGGGUUACAUCACACAAACAGGUGAUAAAUAGACACAGGUGUGUGGCCUCUGGGAGUUUUAAUGGUUCUUACUACAAUACAUCAUUUAACACAAUUAAAUGAUACAAAACAACAGGCUGGAUCCUAAAUAUUGCACCAGGACUAAACUAACAGCUGAGGAAACUCCUGCCUGCAGUCUACAGCUACAGAAACACAGAAGAAGCCAGAAACAAAGCACUGACUGAAGAUAUCAGGAGCAAUUUACUGUCGCCUUGUUUAGAAGUAUAUUUCCUGAUGGAAACUGACUCCGGGGGUGAGACCUGUGACCUUCCAGCCUGCUGAGUCACAUUCCCUGCAGGCUCAUCAUGUUUGUGCAUCACUCACUUGACUCCCUUCUUGGUGACGAUCCUGGUGGAGGAAGCGUUGAAGACCUUCUCGAAGCGCUGCAGCUUGAACCAGUCCAUCCUGCAGGGAGACACAACACGCUCGUCACACCGCAACAAAAAAGAGGAAAAAAAAGCCCAACCUGCUGCUCAGUCUGUCACGUCUGUCUGUCACAUGCUGUUACAUAAGAGCUGUGCCAUCUCACUUCCUGCUGCACGCGUUUAAUCAAAGCACAUAUGAGCCGCUGCGUGUUUGCAUAAUCCCACAUCUCUGAAUCACAGGCAUCAGACACUAAACUGUAGGAUGAUUUUUAUGCAGCUCAUUGUAUUUUCUUUCACUGCUUCUUCCCCCGAGAUAUUAAGAACAAGAGUUUCAAACAAAAGGAGCGUUACAUGCAGGGGGGUGGACACAAUAAACGCAACAUCUCUGCAAUGAAAUGCAAUCCAACGCAAACAUACGGGCUAAAAAUGACAAUAAUGAAGAACUCUGUGAUACAAGUCUUGCAUUAUAUUGCACAGGUGAUUCUUUCCGGUCCUUUGUCUGACAGAUUUGUUUAUGUGAUUAAAUAAAGUGUCACUGUAAUGA